CAAACCAAACCAAGAGACACGACCAAUCUAACCAGUAGUGAUGAUACCUGAUUGUCUCCAUGGAAACACAUUAAAGCUCAGUACUGUGAAAAUUUACAGCCAAAACCAAAGACAUGGAGAUAAACAGGAUCUUGCGGGACUGCGAAGGGUAAAUAUCGUCUAAAGUGAGACUUGGUGACAAAAGUUUGAGAGAUGCACUUUAUUUCAACAUCUAAAUUUGACCGUCCCUCAAAGUCACCGGGGAAACCUGUCAGAAUCUACAGGGACCAUCUCCAGACCUGGACCUGGACCUGGACCUGGACUCGGUCAGAACCUCAGCAGGAAGAUUUUACUCAGAGUUCAUGUCUUUAUUGACUUUAUUUACUGUAAAUCUAUAACACGGCCAGAAUAUUUAAACUAAUUAAUAUUUAGUUUUGGUAGAAAAGGGCUCGGAUGAGUUUGUACAACAUUUAAAAUUGGAGAAAUGAU